UCAUGUUCUUCUUCUUUUUUUGUUUUUCCUUUUCCUCCUUUCCUUUUUUAUGGUUGUGUCUCGAAAGUGUUUCACAAAUACUCCAGACACGCAUCAUGAGACACGAAUUGCAUGUGGGAAGCGCCAAGGCAUGCCCGGGGAGCUUUUUAGUGUGCGAAGGAUCGGACCACGGUGACGUUUUCAGCCCGCCAUUGCUGCUUCUUUGCUCAGUGUGGAUGAAUGUUCAUGAGAGAAAAUCUUUGCUUCGUUUUUUUCUCCAUUAGACUGGCAUUUUAACCUUUCAUCGCCAUAUCUAUUUCUACAGCUGGAACAAUUCUAUGCCAAAAGUAUCCCAAUCAAAUUCCUCUCAGGUAAUAAACUCUCUCCCUCGCUGCACCACUGAGUAUUUAUCUUCCUCCCAAAAUUUCCUUGAGAAAUGAGCAUGGAAUUUUUUUCAGAUCGAAAUGAAAAAAAACUGCUAUGAAAAUGUCCAAAAAAUGGGCACACAGUUUUGGAGUUUGAUUUCUGUCGGCACAAAUUUCAUACAACUGUGAGACGUCUUCUAAAUGUGUAGAAUAAGUGUUUGAAUUGUACCAGUUAGCAUACGUCUUGUAGCAAUAUCUUGCUGGAAAGCUGAAAACUGAGAAAAACCGCUUUCAGUAUGCAAAUGCAAAGGUGCAUGUACAAUAAUUAAGAGAUCACAAUGGGUUUCC
rnacentral:lncRNA from 1 species